AUUGAACGCUGGCGGCAGGCCUAACACAUGCAAGUCGAACGAGUGGCGGACGGGUGAGUAAUGUCUGGGAAACUGCCUGAUGGAGGGGGAUAACUACUGGAAACGGUAGCUAAUACCGCAUACCAUCAGAUGUGCCCAGAUGGGAUUAGCUCGUUGGGGGGGUAACGGCUCACCAAGGCGACGAUCCCUAGCUGGUCUGAGAGGCUGACCAGCCACACUGGGACUGAGACACGGCCCAGACUCCUACGGGAGGCAGCAGUGGGGAAUAUUGGACAAUGGGGGAAAGCCUGAUGCAGCCAUGCCGCGUGUAUGAAGAAGGCCUUCGGGUUGUAAAGUACUUUUGGCAGAGAGGCGUUAUCCGCAGAAGAAGCACCGGCUAACUACGUGCCAGCCGCCGCGGUAAUUC
rnacentral:rRNA from 1 species